GAAGUGCGAUAAGCAAUGCGAAUUGCAGAACCGUGAGUCAUCAGAUUUUUGAACGCAACUGGCGCCGGCUGGCUCUCCAGUCGGCAUGCUUGUUUCAGUGUCUCAUUCUCUCCUCACCCACAUCUUAAUGCGAGAGAUGCCCUUCUCUUGCCAAGCAUGAAAGCACUCUGCGCUCUGCGAGCGGCUUCGACUUCGGUCGUUGGUCGCACUCAAUGCAGCCGUCACAUUGCUCACAAUGUGAACUCAUUGAGAGCUGAGGCAGUGCAGCAUUAGCUGUCAGUGCUUAGACACACAAACUUUAUGUGCAUCUGAAAUCAAGCAGGACCACCCGCUGAACUUAA
rnacentral:misc_RNA from 1 species